UGGCGGCGUGCCUAAUACAUGCAAGUCGAACGCUUCUUUUUCACCGGGUGCUUGCACCCACCGAGAAAGAGGAGUGGCGGACGGGUGAGUAACACGUGGGCAACCUGCCCAUCAGAGGGGGAUAACACUUGGAAACAGGUGCUAAUACCGCAUAAUUCUUUUUGUCGCCUGACAGAAAGAUAAAAGACGCUUUCGGGUGUCACUGAUGGAUGGGCCCGCGCUGCAUUAGCUAGUUGGUGGGGUAACGGCUCACCAAGGCCAUGAUGCAUAGCCGACCUGAGAGGGUGAUCGGCCACACUGGGACUGAGACACGGCCCAGACUCCUACGGGAGGCAGCAGUAGGGAAUCUUCGGCAAUGGACGAAAGUCUGACCGAGCAACGCCGCGUGAGUGAAGAAGGUUUUCGGAUCGUAAAACUCUGUUGUUAGAGAAGAACAAGUGAGAGAGUAACUGUUCUCACCUUGACGGUAUCUAACCAGAAAGCCACGGCUAACUACGUGCCAGCAGCCGCGGUAAU
rnacentral:rRNA from 1 species